AACGAACGCUGGCGGCGCGCCUAAUACAUGCAAGUCGAGCGAGAAGACGUAGCAAUACGUUUGUAAAGCGGCGAACGGGUGAGGAAUACAUGGGUAACCUACCCUCGAGUGGGGAAUAACUAGCCGAAAGGUUAGCUAAUACCGCGUACGCUCUUUGGACUUCGGUUCAGGGAGGAAAGCGAUACCGUGGGUAUCGCGCUCUUGGAUGGGCUCAUGUCCUAUCAGCUUGUUGGUGAGGAACGGCUCACCAAGGCUUCGACGGGUAGCUGGUCUGAGAGGACGAUCAGCCACACUGGCACUGCGACACGGGCCAGACUCCUACGGGAGGCAGCAGUAAGGAAUAUUGCGCAAUGGGCGAAAGCCUGACGCAGCGACGCCGCGUGGGGGA
rnacentral:rRNA from 1 species